rnacentral:rRNA from 1 species
UACGUAGGGUGCAAGCGUUGUCCGGAAUUAUUGGGCGUAAAGAGCUCGUAGGCGGUUUGUCGCGUCGAAUGUGAAAACCCGGGGCUCAACCCCGGGCCUGCAUUCGAUACGGGCAGACUAGAGUUCGGUAGGGGAGUCUGGAAUUCCUGGUGUAGCGGUGAAAUGCGUAGAGAUCGUAAGGAAGACCAGUGGCGAAGGCGAGUUUCUGGACAGUUACUGACGCUGAGGCACGAAGGCCAGGGGAGCAAACGGG